UUAAACUAUAAACAUCGUACAUUUUGCUUUGGCUUGUGUUGUCAAAUCGGCAUUACUGCCAGUAAUGGCCAUUUAAUAUCAGGUUCAACAUGGACACGAUUGAUUUCAUUCAAGAUAGAGCACUUGUCGACUGGAAAUCCAAUCAAGAAAACCCUGACCCUCAAGCAGCUACUGUAUUCGACCAGCUCACACCAGCUAGGCCUCCUCCAAAACUCAGAUAAAUAUUUGAGCCACCAAAAAAAAAACGAGAACAGAUCGGUCUUAAUCGUUAAGAACUGAAGCUAACAUCAUAGAGGUACAUCCUUCCAAGAAUCCAUCAAAACAACAUGCUGAACAACUUCAAGAACUCUCUUCAAAAGACCACACUUUUCUGAAAUAAAUAAAAGAUGCCAGUAUUAAAAUAAAUCAGUUACAUGUAUUGUUAAAUAUUUUAAUACUAGCUGUAAAUGCUACUGCCUUUGAUGUUUGCUUCCUACAUGUAUAUCAUAAUGAAAUAUUGACAAGAUAAUAGCUAAUGUUUUGUGGUUGUUGUUUUUCUCUGGACAAAUAGUCCAUUACUUGUGUACAGCAAAGUAAAACUAAAUGUUAUAAAAAGCUUUAA